UUUAGGCAAAAGUGAGUGACAUCUUUAACUGCGUUUAGAAGCUAUUAAUUUAGUUUUUAAGAACUUCGAACUGAAAGUCGUCAAUUUGUUUUCUUUAACUUGGACUGUCUUUAAAACCUAUUGAUCAUAAAGGCUUUGAGCUGUGGUUGGGGGAAAAUUAAUCGAAUCUUUAAAUCCAAUUACUUGCACAGCAAUCACUUUUUGAAAACGUCGACUGACGAAUGUAUUAGUUUCCUAUCUUUAAAUCCGGUCUACUGUCUUUACAACCUAGUGAUCUGUUUUAUUUCUAAAUGAGUGUUUUUAGGUAAAAGUGAGUGAGAUCUUUAAAUCCAUUUAGAAGCAACUAAUGGACUUUUUAAGAAUCUGGAACUAAAAGUCGCCAAUUUUUCUUCUUUAAAAUCGACUGUCUUUAAAACCUGUUGACUCUAAAGGCUUUGAGCUGGGGUUGGUAGAAAAUCAAUCGAAUCUUUAAAUCCAGUUACUUGCACAAUAAAUCACUUUUUGAAAACGUCGACUGACGAAUGGAUUAGUUUCCUAUCUUUAAAUCCGGUCUACUGUCUUUAAAACCUAGCGAUCUGUUUUAGUUCUAAAUCGGUGUUCUUAGGUAAAAGUGAGUGAGAUCUUUAAAUCUAUUUAGUUUGAACUAAUUGGCCUUUUAAGAACCUGGACCUGAAAGCCCCCAUUUUUUCUUCUUUAAAUUCGACUGUCUUUAAAACCUUUUCCUGUUUUUCCUGAUUCCAAACCUGUUCUAUUUCUAAAUGAGUGUUUUUAGGUAAAAGUGAGUGAGAUCUUUAAAUCCAUUUAGAAGCAACUAAUGGACUUUUUAAGCAUCUGGAACUGAAAGUCGCCAAUUUUUCUUCUUUAAAUUCGACUGUCUUUAAAACCUGUUGAUCCUAAAGGCUUUGAGCUGUGGUUGGUGGAAAAUCAAUCGAAUCUCUAAAUCCAGUGACUUGAAAAGAAAACCAGAAAACGUCGACUGACGAAUGGAUUAGUUUCCUAUCUCUAAAUCCGGUCUACUGUCUUUAAAACCUAGCGAUCUGUUUUAGUUCUAAAUCGGUGUUUUUAGGUAAAAGUGAGUGAGAUCUUUAAAUCCAUUUAGAAGCAACUAAUGGACUUUUUAAGCAUCUAGAACUGAAAGUCGCCAAUUUUUCUUGUUUAAAUUCGACUGUCUUUAAAACCUGUUGAUCCUAAAGGCUUUGAGCUGUGGUUGGGGGAAAAUCAAUCGAAUCUUUAAAUCCAGUUACUUAAACAACAAAUAACUUUUUGAAAACGUCGACUCACGAAUGGAAUAGUUUCCUAUCUUUAAAUCCGGUCUACUGUCUUUAAAACCUAGCGAUCCGUUUUAGUUCUAAAUCGGUGUUUUUAGGUAAAAGUGAGUGAGAUCUUUAAAUCUAUUUAGAAGGAAUUAAUGGACUUUUUAAGCAUCUGGAACUGAAAAUCGCCAAUUUUUCUUSUUUAAAUUCGACUGUCUUUAAAACCUGUUGAUCCUAAAGGCUUUGAGCUGUGGUUGGGGGAAAAUCAAUCGAAUCUUUAAAUCCAGUUACUUAAACAACAAAUAACUUUUUGAAAACGUCGACUCACGAAUGGAAUAGUUUCCUAUCUUUAAAUCCGGUCUACUGUCUUUAAAACCUAGCGAUCCGUUUUAGUUCUAAAUCGGUGUUUUUAGGUAAAAGUGAGUGAGAUCUUUAAAUCUAUUUAGAAGGAAUUAAUGGACUUUUUAAGCAUCUGGAACUGAAAAUCGCCAAUUUUUCUUCUUUAAAUUCGACUGUCUUUAAAACCUGUUGAUCCUAAAGGCUUUGAGCUGUGGUUGGGGCAAAUUCAAUGGAAUCUUCAAAUCCAAUUUCUUGCACAACAAAUCACUUUUUAAAAACGUCGACUAGUUUCAUAUCUUUAAAUCCAGUAAACUGUCUUUAAAACCUAGUGAUCCGAAUUUCUUCUAAACGAGGCAAAAAUGAGUGAAAUCUUCUAAAUCCGUUUUUAUGCGAAGCUGAAAAUCGCCAUCUUUAAACCCAGUCUUUAAAAUCUGGGGCGUUUAUAGGGGAGUUGAGCUGAGGCUGUUUAGGCAAAACUGCGAAGCGAGUUAUGAAUGGAAAUGGAAAUAGGUAUCUUUAAAUCAUUUGCAAACGAGUUUUGAUAUUGGGAUGCGGUUUUUGAGGGUGGACAACAUAGAAGGUGAUCAGGUUCAGUGGUUGAAGGACAUACAGGGUAUUGCGUAGAUUCUGGCCAGAUUUGCGGAACAUUCGGGAGAUGAAGAGCGAUCGAUUUGUUAAUCGAUAGGAAUUGUUAGGCAGGUCGAAAUAGCAGGCGAAGAUAACGGGUUGGAUAGGCCAGACACCACGUCUGUUCCAGUAGGUUCUAAUCUAAGAUAUGCCCAAUGUUUGUCGUGAUACACAGUAUCUUGGAAUGAUAAUGCUGCUAUAUCAGUUUAUCCACCGGGGGUGAUAAUAUGCAAAAUCGCUUGAUACAGACCCACAAUAACAACAACGAAAAAAUCUCUGGUGUGGAAUGGAGUUAUCAAUCGGAGGUUGUGCCGCAAAGGUAUCGAAGUCGGAAAAGGCGCUCGGGACUCGGUCCGCCGGAAAGUGACUUUAAAAUUGUGGAACCGCCACAAGAACCCACACAGUUGAUCCAUGUCAAAUACGUUCGCUUGGAAAAACACGAACCCGUGAAAUGUUUGCCAAGGGAUUAGACUGGUGCCUUACAAUUUCAGUUAUGCGUAAUCCGGCCGUGACGCAAAACUUGCGCAAAUACGAGAAUAAAGAGUGAAAAAAUCGACGGGGCAAAGUGCAGUGCAAACAAAGGCGCGCCAAUGGAAUUGAGUCCUAAUUACGUGUAUUUUUCCGCUUUUUUCAAGGUAAACCGACCAAUCAGCAUGAAGAAGGAGGGCAUCCAGACGAGGAAGCGACGCCCUAAGAGUGCGACGGCCGGUCACAACGGCUCCGCCAUGUCACCAAUGCCGCAAAGAAUCAGUAAGUAUCCAUUUAAGUUUAGUAGAAAACCUCAAGUUUCCUGGAAUGGGUGCAUACGUGCAGAACGUUGGCCACAUUAGAUAAAAUUCAAGUGCUGAGCAAAUAACGAUUAGAGACGAGGGCAGAUAAGUGACGUGUGUUGUCGAUUAUAUCGAUAAAAGCCUCUUUAUUGGCCCCAAUAACUCCAACGAACAAUAGUCAGUUUUUCUGAAAACCUGCCACUUGACAUGGCUGGGAUCGAAAACAUCUAAUAAACAGUGGCGUGCAGAUUCCCGUAAUCCCAAUCAAUUGCUGGGAGGCAACGCGAUUCUACUUGGCCCGCCCAUCGGCCUGGGCUUGUCCCCAUUGAUUUCCUAAACCGCUGAAUAUAUCGACUCUUAACACAAUAUGCGACAUCUCGUGGUCAAUGUUCGAACAGGCCGUUUAAGUUACGGUUAGCUACGGUUUGGCGAUCAUUCAGCAUGUGGUCACGCCCCAAAACGGUUUAAAUGAAAUGCUGCAGGCGCAGGAAUUCAGCCAUUCAAACGCCGAAGGAAACGCACAGGGACUAAGUUUCUUGGAAACUUUAAAUCAGUUGAACUGCGCAUUGUUUGGAAAACUGUUGCAACAUUCCUGUGCUCACCCUGAAGCCGCAAUUGAGAAUUAAAGCACUGCAAAAAAGUGAUUGUUAUGCACUGUUUGGUCAAAAAACGCAACUUAAACACUGCAAAAAAAAUAUAAACUCCCAUAGGAAUGGAACUUUCGGAACUGUAUUCAGAGAGAAUGUUACUGAUAUAAUAAACAGUUUAUUAUAAACUGCAACUUAGAAAAAUGUCGCUUCAAUCGCAGCUGAAACUGAUUUUUUACGAGGUUCCAAACUUGCACAACUUGCAACAUUCGCACACGAAAAAAUUCUGAACUUGCAUAUUAUCUGAAGUUU